rnacentral:misc_RNA from 1 species
UCCGAGUUGACCCCGGCAGUCUCCUAUGAGUCCUCGGCAUUACCCGCUAGCAACUAGUGACAGGGGUUUCGCUCGUUAAGGAACUUAACCCGACAUCUCACGACACGAGCUGACGACAGCCAUGCAGCAGCUGUGCACGUUUCACCCGAAGGCAGGCAACCGACUUUCACCGGCGCCAUCCGUGCAUGUCAAGCCUAGGAUAAGGUUCUUCGCGUAGCCUCGAAUUAAUCCACAUCAUCCACCGCUUGUGCGGGUCCCCGUCAAUUCCUUUGAGUUUUAAUCUUGCGACCGUACUCCCCAGGCGGUCGACUUCACGCGUUAGCUGCGGUACUAAGGAAGUCUCCUUCCCCAACACCUAGUCGACAUCGUUUAGGGCGUGGACUAC